UCUAAAAAUAAAUAAUACUUCAAAGAAAUUUAACAAAAUAAAUCUGACGGUAUUAACCUUUACAAAGGAAUUUGUUUCAUAAUCGACAACACACGACUUACCUUACUUAAUACAUUUCUGUAUACCACCGUAUUUGAAAUUAUUCCAAAUAAAUCUCAAAAAAGAUUUUAUCUAAAAAAUCAGGUCAAGGUGCAAUUUUAUUAAGAAGAAAUGAAUUUCAAUAAUGAAUAUUAAACAUAAAGAACUGAAAAUUUUUUAAAAAAGAAUUUGUAAGUAAAAUCUUAUCAUCAUAACAAUUUGAAAAUUUACAUUAAUAUGU
rnacentral:rRNA from 1 species